rnacentral:rRNA from 1 species
UAGGGAAUCUUCGGCAAUGGACGAAAGUCUGACCGAGCAACGCCGCGUGAGUGAAGAAGGUUUUCGGAUCGUAAAACUCUGUUGUUAGAGAAGAACAAGGACGUUAGUAACUGAACGUCCCCUGACGGUAUCUAACCAGAAAGCCACGGCUAACUACGUGCCAGCAGCCGCGGUAAUACGUAGGUGGCAAGCGUUGUCCGGAUUUAUUGGGCGUAAAGCGAGCGCAGGCGGUUUCUUAAGUCUGAUGUGAAAGCCCCCGGCUCAACCGGGGAGGGUCAUUGGAAACUGGGAGACUUGAGUGCAGAAGAGGAGAGUGGAAUUCCAUGUGUAGCGGUGAAAUGCGUAGAUAUAUGGAGGAACACCAGUGGCGAAGGCGGCUCUCUCGUCUGUAACUGACGCUGAGGCUCGAAAGCGUGGGGAGCAAACAGG